GCGAUACAAGAAGGGUUGGAAAUGGCCACCAAUGCACAAAGAGCACAAUUAAAUUCAGUUGAUGAAUAGCUGCUCAAUCUGAAAGUGAUGUUGCAGAGGAGGACAAGACAGAAACAUUAAACAAUCUACAGACAAUAAACAAAAACAGAAACUAUUUGGUUGAAAACCUAAGCAAAUCAACAUUUAAGGAUCUCCUGGAUGACCUUCUGCAAGAUAAAGUCCUGAGUGAUGCAGAGAGAGAUGAAAUUCUUGAAACAACUCCAGUCACAAAAGAUCGGGCCCGCAACCUUGUUGACGUGGUGAAGAGGAAAGGAGAGCAGGCAGUAAGUUGCUUUCUGGUUCAUCUUGAAAAACGAGAUGAGAAUCUUUACAAGAACCUACCUGAACCGCCGAAAGGGAAGUCUACGCAGAAACCAACAGGUGAAAGAAGAUCAUUCGCGAAGGACAGGCCCAAGCCUGAUAACUUCUGAAUAUUCAAUCCAAAGUGUAACUGCAUGAAUCAAUUACCUCAAUAACUUCUUUAAAUGUGAGCAAGAUGGGCAAUUACCAGUGAUAACUGUGCCAUUUUCUGUAAUCUAAAUAGACAUUAAAGUCAAAUUCAAAUGAU